GACGUCACGGCAGAAGAAGGCACAACAACAAGAAAAGGAACUCAAGAGCUACUGGACUCUAAAGGACAAAGGCCAGCCCUGCAGGUGUCUGCAUGAACUCACCAGGUGCCCUGCCAGUAGGGACCGCUAUAGUGUGAUGAGGAAAAACAGUCCCUUCCAGUUUUGCCUCCCUAACCGACAGGAGCGCCAGAGCCAAUGCGACGCUCCAUCCAGAAUCCCCCAUAAAGACGUGCGUCUUCCACGACAGAAUGCGAACCUGCACUCGCCUGACUGUAUGAUUCAUCCUGCACAUCCUGUGCUUUUACCAGACUGGGAGACAGGCUCUGCUCACAAACCAGUCAGCCCACCAGCAGCAGCAGCCUGGACUGGCUCAGCUCCUCUCAUCCUUGCAUGCCAAAGGCGUUGUCAAGCAACGGCGGAAAAAUACUGCUUCAGGCAGCGUUUAUUCUCCUCCUACUACACGCUGGGAUCAUAUUUUCACUAGACUUAACCUUGCAGCCAAAACUACUUAGAUCUGAAGCGGCAAGUCCGUCUGAGUGCUUGCUCUAGAUCAAAUAAGUGUGUGCCGGUGAUUUGAGUGGGCUGCACCGUCAGCACUGUGGUCCUGCAAGACUCAACCACGAAAGCUGUGCAGGUGUGUCAUUUAGUAACGUGUAGGGGGAAAAAAAACAUGAUUGGAAGGACGGAAGUGAAAAAUGUUUAAGAUGUACAAGACUUAUUUAUGACGGUAUGUAUAUCAUGGGUGGACAUGGCGAUAACGGACAACUGUGCUAUCCUUCCUCCACUUACCUCCCAUGACGUAAGUAAUGGGCAGUAGCUAUAUUUACACUGUGGCCCAUGCUUAAAAAAACUUAGCUUUAAACUCUGUCUUCUGGAUGUAGUCGACUAUAGAAGGCUUUCUCUUUAAUUACUAGUCCUGAAAUCAGAGUGCCAUUUUCUCUUUCUUGCAUGAACCAUGUGUACAAGCUCUUUCUCUCGCGUUGUCUUCACAGAUUGCAUUGUUCUCGAUGUUCUGCAGCUUUUAUGUCAGUAUCUGUUGACUUUCCCACACCAUACCCUUUAGCAAGUUCAACAGCGCGGUCAGCCUCUUCCAAAUGUUCAAUAAUAUUUCAGCUAGAGUAAGUACUGUCCUUUUUCAUUUGCCAGCCAUUUUGAAUUUGUCAGGGUCACGCUUGCAGUGCGGUUAAUAAGGCAAUUUGGAUCAAAGGGGUUUGAAGUAACAGGCUUCUACUGUAUAUCUUGUUUAAUGGGACACCCCGCCCCAGACACCAAAGACACACAUUAAUUCAAAGGAAUACCGGUACCUCAUUU